rnacentral:rRNA from 1 species
UACGAAGGGGGCUAGCGUUGCUCGGAAUCACUGGGCGUAAAGCGCACGUAGGCGGAUCUUUAAGUCAGGGGUGAAAUCCUGGAGCUCAACUCCAGAACUGCCUUUGAUACUGGGGAUCUCGAGUCCGGGAGAGGUGAGUGGAACUGCGAGUGUAGAGGUGAAAUUCGUAGAUAUUCGCAAGAACACCAGUGGCGAAGGCGGCCGACUGGGCCGAUACUGACGCUGAGACACGAAAGCCAGGGUAGCGAACCGG